rnacentral:rRNA from 1 species
UACGGGGGGAGCAAGCGUUGUUCGGAUUUACUGGGCGUAAAGGGCGCGUAGGCGGUCAGCACAAGUCAGUUGUGAAAUCUCCGGGCUUAACUCGGAAAGGUCAACUGAUACUGUGCGACUAGAGUGCAGAAGGGGCAACUGGAAUUCUCGGUGUAGCGGUGAAAUGCGUAGAUAUCCGGAGGAACACCAAAGGCGAAGGCAGUGUCCUGGGGAGUACCUGACGCUCAGGUGCGAAAGCCAGGGGAGCGGAACGGG